UUUUAAAGUGUAAAACCCGAAAACAUCGUUUUAGGCUUCGCACGCUUUUCAAAGCGCCGCGACGAGUUUUAAGUGAAAAUUUCAAUGUUGUCGGAUUUUGACGGGAUUAAUUUUAUAAAAUUGAGCGUAAAAUUCCGAUCAAUUUGGUAUAUAGGACUUGUAUCAAAUUUCGUUUAAAUUAAGAGAUAUAAUUUUUGGAAGUUCAAAAAUUCCCAAAGUACCCUUAAUGUUUAUUUAAGCAUGGGUUGUUUAAGUGAGGGCAUAGGGGUCUUUUGGCAAAACCCAUUACCCCUCUAUACAUGAACCGAAAUCCUUCUAUUCUCCCCCCAUUCGUUCGUGCGGCCCAAACCGAGCGGAGAAGAGGAAGGAGCGCGCGGGUAGGAGCCAUUUCGGCGAGCUCCGGCGGCGGUUUCCGGCGGCCAAACUUGGAGGAAAGCGUAGGGAAAUCUAAGGGAAGGUUAAGGUAUGUGUUUUGCAAGAGUUUCUCUUCUUUUCCCUUGAGUUUUCCCUAAGGAAUGAAAACUAGGGUUUGAGAAAAACUUAAGUUUUCUUUGAGAUUCUUUUGAGAAAAGUUUAGGGAAAGCAAGGGGAAGACUUAAGGUAAGAGUUUCAUGCAAAAAUCCCUCACCUUUCCCUAGUUUUUCUCAAGGUAAAAUUUUAGGGCUUUCUCAAAACUUAGAAUUUUUGAAUGAAAUUAAUAGGAUAACUUUAGAACGAAGUUUUAACGGUGGAAAUGAAGUUUCGUUGAAUUCUUUUGAGUUUUGGAUUUUAGGACAAAUCUAGGGUUUCUCCAAAAUGUUAGUUUUUGUGUAGAGACCUUUACAUUUAUUGUUUCCAAUGUCUUUAGGAGGCCUCUAAAUUAAAGAAAAUGAGAUUUCGGAAAAGAAAAAAUAUUUUCCUAAUUUCCUAAUUUUGCUAAUCCGAAAAUUAAGAGUAUUUAUCUUAUAAUUAGGAAAGAGAAGGGUUCUAACAUGCUAUUGGAAUGCUAUUAGAAGAAUUUGGUUUCCAACCUUAGGGAUUUUAGGUACAAAACUGAAAUUUCCAUAGGAAAAUUUCUUAGUAGGUUUAAGGGAGAGUGUUAGGAGAGAUCUUAAUAUGCAAGAGACUUAUGUUGUGACUUUUGGAUCCAUAGGUUUCAAGAGGAAACAUUGUUGACAAGUAAAGCUUUGCAAAGGAAAGGAUAACUAAGCCUUGAGGAGAACCUAGUAGAAGAAAUGGAUGAAAACCCAAGGUUCACCUACAGCCGUCGUACGCCGGGUGACAGGUAGUGGCAAGAAGAAGAGUAAAGAAAAUGGAGAAGAAGCGG